rnacentral:lncRNA from 1 species
UGGCCAGGCAUGGAGGGAGGCCCUCACAGGCACACACACACACACAUCACACACAUACCAUACAUGUGGGACGGCCCACAGGCACACACACACACACACACACACACACACACACACACGCACAUCACACACAAAAGAGAAAGUGAAAUGGAGCCUUCUGGUUUUCCUCUGAAGCAGAGUCUCACGCUUGUCCCUCUCCUUAGGGUAACGGUUAUCUUCUGUAAUCUCUGCCUGGCUUUGUUGUACUUAUCUGCCUGCAUGUGCGCACAAUUUGCUAAAUGUCUGCCUCCAACAGCCUCCUAGAGCCAGGUAAAUUUCCAUGAGGUCUGAGCCAUGUGAAGUCACCCACAAGCUGCCCCGAGGGUGGCACUGGCUACUGGUGUCGGUAAAACACUUCAUUCAGAAAUCCUGUUUCCUUGACAUUUGUUAAAUCUCUGUAAAACUUGCUAUCCUUUUUUUUUUUUUUUAAGAUUUAUUUAGUUUAUGAACGUGAGUACACUGUUGCUGUCUUCAGACACACCAGAAGAGGGCAUCAGAUCUCAUUACAGAUGGUUGUGGGCUACCAUGUGGUUGCUAGGAUUUGAACUCAGGACCUCUGGAAGAAUAGUCAGUGCUCUUACCCACUGAGCCAUCUCUCCAGCCCCAAAACUUGAUAUUCUUACUCAACGGUUUACCACGCUUCCCUUGUUUGCCUGCUGUGCUACUGCAACCGUGGGCCCU